UUUAGUGGUCGAGGCUCUGGAUUGACGGAACCUGGCGUGAAACCAACUGACCCGCAGGACGUCUUCUAGAGGUGUGCCAGGCCCCCCUCCCAGCACCACCCACCAUAGGUGCCCAUGGAGAUCUCCGGACUGAAAUAUUCAUCCUUGUUUGCUCGCCCAGACAGUGUGGUCCUUAAUUGCAGCAUCAGAAAAAGCUCCACCUCUCUCUCCCUCUCUCGUCUGGCUCGGCUGCAGCGGAGACAAGACCUCAUCUGGGAGCCAGGAAGCCAUGUCAGUGCAUCCUGUCAUCGCUCCGUCACGCUCUCCGUGCUCCUGUAGCUCGUCUUCAUCAGGCCUCGUCCCGUCCCGCGCGUGUUGGAGUCCACCACUGAUCCCUCUGUCCGUCGAUCUGUCGGCCCACAGGGUGUUAAGUGUGUGAGCGAGGCUCUGGAGUUUUGUCAUCAGUUCCUGUGCCAACCCCGAGCCCCCGCGCCCGGCCAAGCCGAGCCAUCUUGUGGGAAUUUUUUGGCUUUUAAUUAUAGUAAGAGAGAGGAUUCAUUAUGGCAGUGGAAACAAGGGGGGCCAUGCAUUAUUGAUGCGAUGAGUGAAGGGCUGGAGGGGGUAGAGGGCUGCUAAUUAAAUCACUGCCCCUACCACUGCCAUGUCCUCCUCCGUCGCUGCCUCCACCACCAUGUCUUCCACCUGCUACAUCUCCAGCAACACCCCCCAACCACCACCCUACUUUAUACCCGUCGCACCCACCCACUCAUCUCUACAACAGCACACAGUCCAACAAACAACCCGUUCCCACGCUGUCAUUCCUCACAUUCAUCUUUGUUUCUCUCUCUGCUCCUUGAUUUUUUUUCCCCCAACCCGGUCCUGCUUCUUUUCAAUUCUAAGUUCAAGAACAUCGUUCACUCCCUCACCUCGUCAGGUGUUCAGUGUUUUCUUCUCCUUCCACGGUCUUGUCCAUGUGGAGGGAUUUGUAUUCUCUGUCUUCAUAUUAUCUCAGUUUGCAUCCUGAACACAUCCUGUGAUUAGGAGUGAUUUAUCCAUCUUCAUGUCCAUCACUGACAGGUUUGAAAUUUGAUCUCAUCCUUAAAUGAACCACUCAGUUUCAAUUUGAAGAUCUCACCGGUCAACCAUUUUUUUUAAAAGAGCCAAAUGUGACAAAAUGCUGCCAUCUACUGGAAUUUAUGUAGAACUGCAAUGAUUAUCGUGCUUCUGGUAAUAAGGGUUUCCUCUCAUUGUGCUUAAUCCAAAAAUACAUCUGGUUUUGAAAACACAGAAUUCAAUUCAAAUAACUUUAUUCACCCGUUAACAAAACUUACUUUGUGUAAGAGCAUCAGUGUGCGUAUCGUAAACACAUAUAUUGCAUCAACAUACAGUACAACGUCCAGACAGCAAUAGACAGUUGAGCAAACAGCUUACACCUGUAAAAAAAAAAAAAAGGAACUAAACAAUAUAAAGUUAUAACGCAAAAGUGAGCAAAAUGAAAAGCAAAAAACUACCCAGCAAAUGUAUUGUUGGAAAACAUUGAGUUAAAUAUUUUAUGAGAAAAGAUGGAAAUUGAUGGUGAUGGGUUCAAAACCAGACAAGUCCCCACUCAUAUCUUAAGGAUUCAAUCUUGUUCUGUAGUUGAGAGACUGAAAACUUAUAUUCACACUAAAUGUUAUAAUAUUAGAUGUUAGUUGAUCACUUUGCGGGGGACAAGGUCUCCAGACUAAACUAUCUGUUGUUUCACUAACCUUUUUCCCCCCUUUCCCAUGAAACCUUGAAUUAUCUUUUUAAAGAUGAUUAUGUAUCUUCUCUCUUGAUUACCGUGAUUCUAUGUCUGAUUUCUCCGGGACGAUCCCGUCGUCAUUCCCUGUGUUUUCCUAAGACCUUCCAGACGGAUAUUGGUUCCUGGGUGUGCGAUUGUUGCAACGAUAACAGUACAGCUGAAGAGCUAAUCCCCUUUUUUGUUCAUUUGCUUAAUAUUGUUUUUCAUAUUUUCACACCAUUUAAUUUACCUCUGUGUAAAGUGCAGCAGCAGAGACGACGUCACACAUCCAUGCGGCUGAAACAUGAGCAGUAUGUUCAUAUUGAUAACUCUGGUGUGCAAAUGAAUCAAUAAAAGAACAGUGCAUAAACCAAAGAGAGAAAAGUUAAACGUUAAACAAAAUGUUAAUAACUAAAGAGGCUAAGAACAAAUUGGGGCAAAGUAAAGGAUCAUGCAAAGAACUCACAAAGUUUCCGUAGCUGGGUUGUGACCACGAACAGCCGGCGACGGUUUCCAUGGCAGCGCCAUCCUAAGGUGUAAUCACACCAGCGGGACAGCAGAUGGUGCCGUCGCAUCCUUUAUCACGAAAUCAAACAAACACUGCAGCACAAGUUAUGGAUGACACCAGAGCAGCUUCCCCAGGUGCAGUUAUCUGUGGCUGCUCAUGCCAACAGUACUUAUUGUGUCAUGGAGGGUUAGAUAACCGGAUCGGGGGGCUGGAGGGGGGGUGGGUGAGAUCAGGUGAGAUCAGGUGAGGUGUUGACUGACAUGCGACUCUUCUUUUUCGUGUUUCCUCAGCAGAAUUAAUAGUGCACCUGCUGGGACGGGCACAAAGCCUCUCUGUGAUCCUGAUUAAUCCCCGGUGAGGGUAUCGGCUUAUUGCAGCCAGAGCUGCUGGCAGGUGGAUAUAUUCAUUACAUUAGAUUCUCCCAUUUGUUUUGUUUUUUCUCCUCUUGUUUUACAGUAUUCAGAGUACAUACAUUCAUGCAUUUGG